rnacentral:tRNA from 1 species
AGGACUUUAGUUAAAAAUAACAUUUGGUUUGCAACUAAAAAGUACCUUAUAGGUUUGUCUUA